UCACUGGUGGUCCAGUGGUUAAGAAUCCAGCUUGCAAUGCAGGGGACUCAGGUUCGAUCCUGAUCAGGGAA
rnacentral:tRNA from 1 species